UGGCGGUAACUCACGUCCACGUGGCUCUGCGCCAAGAGAAAUGCCUAUGGAAGGGAAAGCCCUUUCUGAACGGAGGGCUGACUGCCUUUGUGAAAGAUGAGAAGACAAAGCCUAAUACUGUGAAACCUCUUUAGAACAUUUUCCAGGGAACUGAGCAUUCUGAAUGUUCUACGUGGGAACACAUGCGCGGGGCGAGCGGCACAAUGAGGGCAUUUCACUGCACUUCCCGGGGCCAGACAUUCCAGCGCACCCAGCGCAGGAGCCAGUGGCCCGGCUGCAACACGAGACGGGCACGGGCUCAGGAAAGCUCCCCUGGCGCCCCCGCCCCCACUCUGUGGUUGUGCAAAAUGGUCAAUUACUUCGUCUGAAACAGAGGCCACGUCUGUUCUCCAAUGCUGUGCUUUGGGCGCGGCCUGAGACUAUCCGAUGUUUAAGUUGGUUCAGGUGGCCCAGGGAAAAGGCAAAACAGUACUUUCACAGACUGCAGAAAGCAUCUGAGAAUAAACGAACAUCUCAGAGGGAAGUGAACCAAGCUGAGAAGCUGAGGUCAUCCUUACUCUUUACAGCCUCUAUUCAGCAUGUGCGUGAUCCCAAAGAGUCUCUCCCUUCCUGUCACCCAGGACUUGGUUCAGGUGCACAUCCUCAUCUUGGCUUUCCCAGACGACUUCAAAACUACCCUGACACCAGGCAGCUCCUCAAGCCCACUCCACUCUCCACUCAAUGGAAGGAAGUUAGGUCAUUGGGGGUGCCCUUGAGGGAGCCACUGGGAUCCUGCCCCUUCCUGUCUCUCUUUGCUUCCCAGACACCAUGAGCUUUUUUUCUCUUUUGGCUCUCAGAAUUGCUAACCCUAAGCCUGUGAAGCUGAAGACUACACUUCCCAUUAUGGGUUAAUGAGAGGUCCCCUCUCAAAAGUCAAGAGCUCCUUUUCUGCUUAAGUUAUGAAAAAAUUACUAUUCUUCAUUUAGGUUUCUCCUUCCUUUCUCUUUCCGGCAUCAUUAAAACCACCAGCCAACAGGGCACAUUGGUGUGCAUCUGUGAUCCCAGUGAUUCAGGAGGCUGAGGCAGGAGGAUCACUUGAGCCCAGGAGUUGGAGGCAGCCUGGUAAUAUGGCAAGACCCGUGUCUCUGAUGAACAACAACAACAAAACUGCAACAACUGACAUACUCAGAUGAACAGAUUCCUCUCCUCUACUAAGAACUUUGCCACCUAGAUGCCUUGGAAGAUGGGAGUUCCAGCACACAAAUAGGGAAUUUUCAGAGAGGGAUGCUUUCAAUUAGCUAUACAGAGCCCUUGACUAUAGUAAUUAUAAUUAGCUCACCUAAUUAUAAAAAAGCUUACAGAAGCUUCUGCACAUAAAGAAGAGUGUGAUGAGGAUCAGGACCAAAGAUGAUCAAGAACGCCACAAGGACUGACUGACCUUGUUGCCCACAUGGGAGAAACAGAAUCUGCUUCCUGUUAGAAGGGUGGAGUGGUCAAAAGGGUGGAGAAAAGAGGGGGAAAGGUGGAGAGAAGUGCUGUUUGUGUACAUUUUUGCGUAUGUGUCUACGCUGUCUGUCUCAGGUCAGGUUCUCUGGAAGUGUGAGGGAGGCAAGAUGGUUAUUUCAGUUAUACACAUGUGAAGGAAAAGGGGAGGAAGCAGUAUUGAGCUGAGGAAGAAGUUGGGUUGGGGGACCCAACAAAAACUGUCCCGGAGGUGAAAAAGUUUCCCAUAGCUACCUGGAAUGAUUGCCUCCGCCCCCCAUUUCACUUAGUCACUGGACACAGACUGUGCCAUUAGGGCUUGACCUCAGACAGAGGAGGCAGCUCUCUGCAGCUGCAGCCCUUGUGAGGGCGCUGAUAACCGGAGACAGCCCUCCCUGCAGCAGGGAUACAAGCUCUUCCUUGAAGGGGGACGUCGGUAGGCAUCUCUCUGCCUACCAUACUAGUAAAGCUCUCUGUGGUUAAUAUAGUAUUUUUGUUCUUAUUGUAGUUCUCAACAGACCAGAGGUAUUACACAUUUCAGUAAAAAAAAAAAAAAGAAAGAAAAAAACAUAUUUAG